rnacentral:rRNA from 1 species
GAUGAACGCUGGCGGCGUGCCUAAUACAUGCAAGUCGAGCGAACAGACGAGGAGCUUGCUCCUCUGACGUUAGCGGCGGACGGGUGAGUAACACGUGGAUAACUUACCUAUAAGACUGGGAUAACUUCGGGAAACCGGAGCUAAUACCGGAUAAUAUAUUGAACCGCAUGGUUCAAUAGUGAAAGACGGUUUUGCUGUCACUUAUAGAUGGAUCCGCGCCGCAUUAGCUAGUUGGUAAGGUAACGGCUUACCAAGGCAACGAUGCGUAGCCGACCUGAGAGGGUGAUCGGCCACACGGGAACUGAGACACGGUCCAGACUCCUACGGGAGGCAGCAGUAGGGAAUCUUCCGCAAUGGGCGAAAGCCUGACGGAGCAACGCCGCGUGAGUGAUGAAGGUCUUCGGAUCGUAAAACUCUGUUAUUAGGGAAGAACAAAUGUGGAAGUAACUGUGCACGUCUUGACGGUACCUAAUCAGAAAGCCACGGCUAACUACGUG